AGCCCCUAGCGCAGACGGCGGAGAGCAGAGAGGGAGCGCGCCUUGGCUCGCUGGCCUUGGCUGCGGCUCCUUGGGAGAGCUGGGGCGCCCGCGAGAGGAUCCCUCACCUGGGUCUCUCCUCAGGGAUGACAUCAUCCGUCCACCUCCUUGUCUUCAAGGACCACCUCCUCUCCAUGCCGAGCCGCUCCAAGGGGCCUGCUGCCCAUCUACACCUCACGAGGGCACUAGGAGCACGGAUUCCUGGAUCCCACCAACAUACAAAGCAGCCAUUCACUGACCCCCAGGACCAGGAUGGCAAAGGAUGAAGCGGACCGGAACUGACCAGCCGGCUGUACCUCUUACCUAAAGACUUAAACCAAUGCCCUAGUGAGGGGGCAUUGGGCAUUAAGCCCUGACCUUUGCUAUGCUCAUGCUUUGACUCUAUGAGUACUUUCCUAUAAGUCUUUGCUUGUGUUCACCUGCUAGCAAACUGGAGUGUUUCCCUCCCCAAGGGGGUGUCAGUCUUUGUCGACUGACUCUGUCAUCACCCUUACAAUGUCCUGAAUGGAAGGAUCCCUUUGGGAAAUUCUCAGGAGGGGGACCUGGGCCAAGGGCUUGACCAGCAUCCUGCUGGCAACUCCAAGGCCCUGGGUGGGCUUCUGGAAUGAGCAUGCUACUGAAUCACCAAAGGCAUGCCCCACCUCUCUGGAGAUCUUCCUAUCCUUUUCUGGGGAAUGGGGUCGAUGGAAGCAACCUCCUAGGGUUGUUGUGAGAAUUAAAUGAGAUAAAAGAGGCCUCAGGCAGGAUCUGGCAUAGAGGAGGUGAUCAGCAAAUGUUUGUUGAAAAGGUUCGACAGGUCAGUCCCUUCCCACCCCUCUUGCUUGUCUUACUCAUCUUAUUUAUUCUCCAGCAGCACUCCAGGCAGCCCUUGUCCUCGGGCUCUCCUUGCAUCAGCCAAGCUUCUUGAAAGGCCUGUCUACACUUGCUGUCUUCCUUCCUCACCUCCAAUUUCCUCUUCAACCCACUGCUUCCUGACUCGCUCUACUCCGUGGAAGGGCUCUCACAAAGGCACGUGGGCCGUGGCCCGGCUGGGUCGGCUGAAGAACUGCGGAUGGAAGCCGCGGAAGAGGCCCUGAUGGGGCCCACCAUCCCGGACCCAAGUCUUCUUCCUGGCGGGCCUCUCGUCUCCUUCCUGGUUUGGGCCGAAGCCAUCACCUGGAUUCCUGCGUGGGAAGGGACCUCGAAUGUGGGACCCCAGCCCCUCUCCAGCUCGAAAUCGGCAGACUAGGAUGGAAGUGCCCUGCGAGCUGGGGGGCCCUUCAAAGGGCCAAGGAGAAAACGCAGGCCAAGGGACCAGCCUUCCAAAUGGGCUUCGAGCUCCAAUGACCUCCGCUCACCCCCUCGAAAUGUCUGGAAAACAUAAUGGGCAGAUUUUCUGUCUUCAAAGUUUCCGGCUAAACCUCUUCAAGUUCUUUAUUGUUUGGGACUGAGACACUCAGCCAUGAAUCUGGGGCUCCAGGCUAUGCCUUGGUUGGACUGAGGUCUGGGGGUGCACUUUAUCCCUGGGGACACCUGCUGAAGCUUCUCCCUGACAAGCCAAGUGUCACCGUUGGAUGAGGAUGGGGCGGGAGGGGCCCAGGGCAGAAGAAGACCGGGGGGGGUCUUUCAAAAAAACUCCUGUAUGGCUGUUAAAAAAAGUCAGCAGAGGCUCGGAAGACUUAAAGUGUGCAGAAGGCGGGGAAGGGAGGGCCCGUCGCAUGCACCAAGAGGAAAUCGGAAGGAACAGGUGGCUUUGGCUGUCAGGAGAGCCUUCUCCCAACAUCUAGGGGCUGUCCUGACAGGUCACAGUGGGUCGAACUGAGUCAAUAGGAGAAGCUCUGGGGAGACCCACUGGUGCCCUGGAGGGUAGGUGGGUUUGGGUGGGAUGAAUUCUCUGUGUUCUUUUGGAAAUGUGGAGGCCGCGAGGGGGGAUCAGGGCUCUUAGGGUCUUUGACUCUUAAGAGUUUUGCAUCUGGAAUUCAAAGGGUCUUUAGUUCUGGGAUGCUGAGAUUCGGGAUAGGGUUCCUAACGGCACAAAAGCCAGAGAUAAAAUGUCCUUCACGUGCUCCCCACCCGGUUCUUUCUGUUCCAGACCCACAAGGUCCGAGUUGGGAUCUUAGUGCUCCUGUCUGGUCAGGGCCUCUCUUUAUGUGUUCGUUAAACAAUGAGAGUAAAUUCUGUCCCUUGACAUUGUCGUUUGCGUGCGCCCCACACGCAAAUCCUUUCCUGGUGACACCAGGAGCUACAACUCUCCUUGGCCUCCUCUUGUGACUCCCAGCUCCCUCCUUGGGAAGCUUGGCCUCAGGACCUCCUAGACCGACAGGCCAUGAAUCCCCCUGCGUCCUGUUGUGUUCCUAAUGUAAAUGGUGUGGAUGGCACUUGACCUAGAGCAGUGGGAAACGCAUCCACCACUCAACAUUCUGACAUGUCACCCAUUUUACAUUCUUACAGGCCUACUUUUUUUUUAAAAAAAGAGUGUCUAUUUUUAAAUGAGCAUCCCUUCUUUAAAAAAACCUAGUUGCCGUUAUUCGCCACAUACACUUUUUUUUUGGCAUCCUGCCUCUUCUAUUUAAUAUUCUGUCAUCAACAUUUUCCCUUGUUUCAUUCAUCUUCACAACCUCACUGGCUGCAUUGUGCCUUGCUGAGUGGCUAUGGCGUCAUUCACAGAACCAUUCUGUUAUUCUUAUGUAUAAUCACCUUUUAAAAAUAUUAUGAAUAAUGCCACAACUAACUGCUUAAAACACCCUUUUUUUUCAUUCUUAAGAAUUAUGUUCUUCCACCCAGAAAUUAUCAUUGCUUCAUUACAGAUCAGUUUCCCCUGCUAGACUGUGAGCCCCAUAAGGGCAAGGAGCUUAUUGAAUUGGCCUUUGUAUCUCUGAUGCCCAACAUGUUGUAGACGCUAAAUAAAUGACGAAUGAGUGGAUGGAAGAAUGGAGGAAGGAGCGAGUGAGUGAGUGUUUGGCUGAUGGAUAAGAGGGCGGAAGGAUGGGUGAAUCCAUGGAUUGGUGAAUGAACGAAUGAAUUUCCUUCGGUUAAGUCUCUUGAAAGAAACGCUAUGGAUCUUUGUAUGGAUAUUGAUUAAUUUCAGAAGGCUUACAGCGUUUUGCAAUGUUCAGCAAUGUAUGACCAUUUAAUUAAGAUAUGGCUAGUUUGUCUCUGUUAUAAAGUACUUUUGCAUUACUUUAACUUGCAUUGCUUUAAUUACUAAUGACGGGCGAACACUUUGACCUAUGUUUGUUAACAAAUUGUAUUUUAUCUUCUGUGAACUGUUUGUCCAAGUCCCUUGGGUCAUGGCUUUCUGAAGAGACUGGUCCCAGAUGCCCUUGGGAUGUAGGGAGCCCUUAGCUCACUGGAGGCAUUCAAGGAACCAGCCAGGCAGCCCUCGGAGAAGGUAGCGUUUAGGAGAUUCUCAUGGUGUGGGGUUGGCCUAGGUGGACUUUCAGGUCUGUUUGAUGUUAGGAUUUGCUUCUCCCUGGGAAGUGGGUGAUGGGGACAAGGACACCUUCCAUUGGCAGGUGUAGACACUGCAGGCUGGACCUCCUGGGUGUGCUCGUGGACUCCGAUCUUGCCCUCAAUAAAACCCCAGUGGGACAGGAAUAGCUCUUUGAACCUCCAAGGUCCAGACAGCCACAUCCUAGCACCCUGUACAAUCAGUUAGUGGGCUUCCCACCAGCGCAGUCACUCAUUCCUAUUAGAUCCCGAUGAAGCCAGGCCCUGGGGUUUCCAUUUUCCCACCUCUUAGGGGAAUUGGGUUCCCAGCGUCCUGUGAUGUGUCAACAAAUGUCCUCAGCCCUGGCCUGCACAUGUGGCCUCAAUGGUGGUCUUUGGGGUUUAACUGACGAAUGGAACAUUUUGGAUCGGGACUGAUGGGAGAAUCCCCUUUCAUUUUUCUUCACCUGGGGCAAUUACCUUCCAAGGAGCAGAAUAGAGGGCAGUUCUGCCCAAAGCAUCAGGGCUCACAGGUCAGUCACAGCCAUUUAGGGAGGGCACGUCGCCGAAGGAGGGCUCGCCCUUCUUUCCAGAGCAUCCUCCGCUCUCAGCAGAGCUGCUUCUGCCCACCCAUCCCUCUACUAUAGCACUGAGCACUGUUUUUGCCUGUGUCAGAAUCCCUCACCCACAUGUAUAGCUUGGUAUCCAAGCUUGGGAGGCCGGCAAUGACUUUCAACAUGAAUUGCUCCAUCUAUCCAUCCAUGCAUUCAGCCUACUUAUCUUGACCCUGUUCUUUUGGCCUUUUCUUCUCCUGAAAGCAAACCCUUUCAUUUUGGGUGGGCUGUGUAGCGCCAUGGGCUGUGGUUAUGAAGCAAACACCUUUUCUCGUAGCUGCCUCCUCCGGGGUUACUGCUCUGAGCACAUCCCAGCUGGAUCUCAUCUGCCACUGUCACCCACAGCUUCUUCCCCAUGGUGCUUUCCAUGUGUCACACACCAUGACUAUGACCCAGGGUCGGGGUCGCAGAGUAGCCUGGGGCCAAGCCCUCCCAACCAUGAGCGGAGAGGUCCUCCCCAGGCCUCACCUUGCCUGGUGCAUGGUCCCUGCCAUGAGCUUUGCGUUCAGCCUUUCAGCUUCCUCCACCGGAUGGCAGUGGUUGUAACUCAUCUAUUCAUCGCUUCAUUCCUUCGUUCAUUCACUCACAGCCAACAAACAUUUAAAAAAAAUUAGCCAGUGCUAUACUAGAGCUGGCUCCCAAGGACCCGCUGCCUCAUUGCCUUUUGAAAGAAAACAAUGAACACGUUGGUAAAGGGGCCGUGCUUGUGUGUCGGUGACAAGGCGAGAUCCCUGAGUCAGCUCGGGCUUGUAGAUUCGAGGAGUGUUGCGAGUUUGAUUGCCCCUCUGACUUUGUCCCCUGUACAACUAGGUUGAUUAGGAAUCAGCCAACUGUGUUCCCUGGGUGCUCGGAAAUCACAGCCCAUAUCCUCGAGAGGCCAAAAUGAGAGCUGGGGGGUUCCAAGAUGAGUGGCUGCUUCUGGCCGUGAGCAGGCUUUCAAGUCAUUAGAACACUCUGGCCUUUCCUGGAGGUGAUCUUGGAGCCAUUCCUGCCCCUUUCAAGAGGAGUUAAUGCCCAGCUCUGUUUAGAGAAAAUUGGGGGAGAUGAUUGCUCAUGUGGGUGGUAAGAGUCACCUCCCGUUCGGGGGUCUGCGUAGAACACUCCAUUGGCAAACCUGGGUGUCCAAGGCACGUGGCAUUUUGCAAACUCUGGGUGCAGCUCCAAGCUGUCCUGCAGGUCCCAGACCAGGUGAGAACUCCCUGAGUUCCUGCUGCCUGGGUGGGGGGUGAGGCAUAGGUCUUGGGGGUUCGACUGGAAUUCUGAAUGUUAUUCAUUGCAUUGGAGAGGAAGGAGAGUAGGCAAAGCCAAGACCCUGGAACUGGACAAACUCGUGUGGUUUAAAGUCAUUGUGAGAGCUGGAGUUGAGUCUGCCUACAGGGGAGGACUGCGGCACCUACCUCGCAGGGCUGUUGUGAGGAGCAAUGUAACGGUGAUUUUGAACUGUGAUUCUGGAAGGGCGGUGUGCGUGUCCCCGGGGGUGUGCCAAGGGGAGACAGCCUCACUCAGGCAGCUGAGUGGGAAGGCGUUCAUCUCUAAACGUUGGGGGGUAUAUGGUGGGACAGGAAGAAUUUUGGCAGGAACUUUCAUGCUAGGGGUUUGGGGGACUCUUUGGACAAUGCCCCUGGACCCCCCGGGGGUACACGUUCACGCUCACCUCUGAGAGGCUGGAAACGCCUGGCUGUGCUUUCUGAAUGCUGUGUGCUUCCUGCCUCUGUGCCUGGCCUGUGGGCAGCACCUACUUGUGUCCGCCUUCAAAAGGCCCUUCUGGGUGGUGUCCUUUUCCCCAAAAUAUUAGGCACCAGCCAUCAAAGAUGCUGCAUUGUUCCCUCCCUCACCCCUCCCCCAACUGACAACAUUUGGGCUCAAAUGCCAGCAGGCUGGGUGCCCAACACAGUGCCUGGCGAGUGGCAGUGCUUGCCUUUCUUUUCUGUUGAAUGGAUGGAUAGCUAAUGAAAUUGUAACCAAUGACAAGCCUCGAUGUUUAUAACCUUUACCAAGAGAUUAUUAUUUUGCUCUUCAUGGACCUGUUAACUGCCAUAUUGUGUCUUACGGACGUUUGUAUGCCACGUUGGAAGAGCAGAAGCCUUGUUUCGGCGUCAUGUUGAUGGAACUUGAGCUGUCUGAUGCGAAUCUGUGUUUUAUGUUAGAAAGAGCCUAGCCUUAGGAUCUGGCAGACCCAGGGACCACUUAAUUAGCCCUUUGCCUCUUUGACCCUCAAUCUCCUUUUCUCUAAGCCAUAGGUCACCAGAAAGCCUACCUCACAGGGCUGUUGUGAGGGCCGAGGGUGGGUGUGCUGCAACAGUGCUGUGCAGAUGCUGGCUUUCCCUGGGAAUGGGCAUAUGUUGAGAUUUGUCUUGAAAGCAUGAGUGAUGGCUUUACUAGUCCUAAGUGAAUAAAAAGUCAGCCCUGACCUUACACUGGGAUUGCAUUUCCCACAGUCAGUGGCAUGUGCAAACCACUGGCAGAGCAGCCUGCAGGUGCUUAGCGAUGUGGGCCCAGAGUAAAUAUUUGUUUGAUUGAUGAGUGAUGGCUUUUUCCUUCCUCAGAGGUUGCCCUGCCCCCCAUUCCAACGUGGGCUGCUGCUUCUCCCCAGCAGGUUGUAGCUGGCAGGGCCGUUGUGCCUUGGGGUUUGCUGUACCCGUUGGUGCCAUGAGGGGACGGUCUGUUUGCUUGGAGGGGUUUCUGCAAACGUUCAUGUAUGCCCCUGGUUUUGUUUGUUAGGGAGAAGGAGGGGGUGACCUAGAGAGAGGAUGAGGAAGGGGUUCUGGGUGGCAUCCUUGGGGUGGCAACCCUCCUUCCACCCUGUGCUGUGAAUUUCCUCACGGCCCUUUUCUGUCCCUGGUAGAAGGUGCAGAAGGUAGGCUUUGCUGCCUUCCCUGGGCCUGGCACCAAGCUCGGGGGUCUUGUACACGUUCCCUUCUCUAACUGGGGUGUGGGCCCAUUUCCUAGAUGAGCUUGCUGAGAAUCAGGACAGCUCGUAUCAGAGCCAGGACUUCCCAGUCUUGCACAUACAACCUGUGCAUUUUCGAGUCCACCAAAUAAGGCCUCCUACCUGGUCCGGCUCACCCCUGCCAGCCCCCAGCAAAUGCAGCCUGGUGCGUCCCCACCCCUGCCAAGCGCCCAGGAGUGCUCUGGCAGAGGAGUGCAGGGAUGAGGAAGGAGGCUGUGCUCUCCUGGGGACUCAGCUGCAUUACAGGAGGUGCCGCUGCGCUGGCAGGGGUCUCCAGACAUCCCAGGCAGGGGUCCUUUCAGAGCAGGCGUCUCUUCACCAGACCACCCGUAUUCCUUUUCCAGCCCUCGUCUCUUGCACUGUGGGGGUGCAGUGUUUGGCUCUCACAUCCCCACAUUCCAGCUGGUGGGGGUUUGAGCUGGGUGUUCCUUCUGUUCCCCACUCCCCACUCCCAGCCCCCACCCCGUGCAAGCCUCCCUUGCCCCCACUCUUUGUCUCCAGCUUUCACAGCCUUGGGGGGCAGGCUGCUGGGUCUGUUGCAGCCCCGGCUCUCUUCCACCCGCCUCUUCUUUCUCAGCCUGAACUUUACUGUGAGGUCUGAGCACCACACCUUGGCCCCUGCCAUGCCUGCCCCCAGAAGCACCCAGGGGUCCCCUGAUUCUCUCCUCCCCUGGGCUUUGCUGAGGAGCCCUUGCAUUGUGGCCUGUGGUGUCUGCCCCAUGCCCAUCCCCUGUUCUUUAGAACUUAGAAGCAGAGGGGGCCCCUCCUAUUGCUCCCAAGGGGCUCCACAGUAGGGAGCCCCUCCCAGGAGAUUCUGAGUCUGUGUUUAGGUGUUGAUUCCUGGGUGGGCCUUGGGGUCCCCUCAGGCCAGGCCUGUGUGUGACCUAAGGCUGGGGGGCUCUAUCAGGCACCUAGCGUCCCUUGGAGGUGGGCGGGGCUGGGUCCUGGUCUCCUGAGGGUGGGUGGGGAGACAGGCUCAGGGAGAUUUCCACGAAGCUGCCCUUGAACCCCUGCUCUGAGGCCCGCACUGCCUUGGCCCUUUACACCCUGCCUCCUGCACUAGGAGGCACAUAAUAGAUGCUCGCCACCUGUGGAGGGCAGGGUUUAAAUGGCUGGAAAGAGCUGAGUGGGCUGUUUGGCUAGUGUACGCGCAUUUGUUUAAAAGGAAAGGGUGUGUUUCUUGGCAAAGACUCUUCGGAGGAAACGCUGACCUGGGGAAGGGUCUCUACCUGUUCUGGGGCCUCACUGCCCUUCCUGCCGGGGACAGGCAGUCACUGGUGGGUUUCCCCCCAGUGGAAACACAGUAUUUUGGAAAUAUUUAUAUCUAGGAUAAAACUUCAUCUGGACCAACAUGUCUUUGUUGGUGUUGUGGCCCAGGUGAUUUUGAGAAUGUACAAUACAUUUGGCAAUUUCCAAAUGGAGGGAUGACCUGCUCCCCCGCCCCCAUGCCCUCCCUCCCUGAGGCUGGAGGCUUCAGAAGCCCCUGCCUUGGGAGGAGGCUGUUCUACCUGAGAAGUCUUUGUCCCCACCAUUGGUGACAAUCAGCAUUGACCUGUGAGGCACCUGCCGGGUUUGGGAUGCAGCCUUAGACAUCCAGAAAACCAGGGGUGGAGGGGUGCGGUGGGGGCUUCAGACCCCAGAACUUGAUUCCUUUUAUCUGUCUCAGCCCCAAAGAGUGGUACGUGGGUACCAGGUAGGUUACUUGAACCACCCUGAGCCUCGAUUUUCCCACCCGUUAGAAACGGGGUAAUUCAUGGCAGUGUCUGCUUGGGAGAUGGCUGUGACCCCUGAGAAUCCCCGCUGCAUGCCGUAGGCUGGCUCGUGAGACUCAAGGUCUGGGUUCAAGGCCCCCCCAACCCCUUCUGACUGUGUGGCCUGGGCGAGUUUGCCGUUUGUAACCUGGAAAGCGUCACACCUGCCUGGCACGGUUAUUGUGGGAUUCAAUGAGAUUGUUUGUGUGAAAUAAAUGCUUUGUGACUGGCACACAGGCUCUCUCAUCCCGGCUCUCCUGGUGGUUCCGGACCCCUGAGUGCUGGCUGCAGAGGCCCUGUGCUCCCUGGAACCGUCUGCGCUGGUCCCAGGGACUCUUGGGCAGAGUGGAGGGCAAGGGGGGAUGCACCAGCCCGCUCUGGGGAGACAGUGGCAUAGAGAAGGGUUUGCUUUUAAAUACACUCAGCAGGUUCAGACAGGAGAGGAUCAGACGGGAAAUGUUUAGAGCCCUCAGGAGGAGGAAGAGCCCGAGUUUUAAGAAAAACACGAGAGCUGGACAGGUUGGGCAGAACAGCUGGGGACAGCAUUUAGAAAGGCCGAGAGUCCUGGGUUCUGGGUUAUCAAGAUGAGAGAAACCAGAGGUUGCCAACUGUGGGUGGGCGUCAGUACUAGAGUGAUGCUUCCAGAAGUUCCUGCAAGUGGGCAGAGUCCAAGGUAGGGCAGGGUACACCAGAAGUUGAAGGGCACUAGGUAGACGGGCCGAGCUGGUGGCUGGGUGCUCCCCUCACCCUCCAUGCUGCUAGGAGCCCCUGAGCACGGACUCGCUCUCCUCUCCCUACCUCCUGGGGCCUGCCUGUCUGUCUGUGAACUCUUGUCGGCCAGCGAGGCUGGGAGCAGGUGGCCUUCAUCUGCAACUGUGUCUCUCUCAGCCUCCACAGCCACGGGGACGCCUUGCACCUAUUCCCACGGGACAGGCUGGACCCAGAGACUCUGGACCCGGGGCCUCCCCUUGAGUAGAGACCCGCCCUCUGACUGAUGGACGCCGCUGACCUGGGGUCAGACUCAGACCCGCGGGCUGGACCCCUGCCCACCCCUCAGGAACCCUGAGGCCUAGGGAGCUGUUGAGCCUUCAGUGUCUGCAUGUGGGAAGUGGGCUCGUUCACCUACCUCACAGGGCUGUUGUGAGGGGCGCUGUGAUGCAGUUCCAAAGCACAGGGCUUGGCGCACCCCACUGUGCUCUCAAUAAAUGUGUUACCUGUCUUAACAAAAA